GACGAACGCUGGCGGCGUGCCUAAUACAUGCAAGUAGGACGCAGUUGCGAAUGGGAGAGUAACGCGUAGGUAACUACCUAUUAGAGGGGGAUAACUAUUGGAAACGAUAGCUAAUACAGCUUACUAGUAGCUGGACCUGCGUUGUAUUGGCUAGUAGGUAGGGUAAUGGCCUAACUAGGCAACGAUACAGAGCCGACCCGGGAGGGGGAUCGGCCAACAUGGGACGGAGGCACGGCCCAGAAUCCGACGGGAGGCAGCAGGAGGGAAUCGUCCGCAAUGGGGCGAACCCUGACCGAGCAACGCCCCGGUAGUUAAGAAGGGUUUCGGAUCGUAAAGCUUUGUUUUUAAGGAAGCGGUACUUAACCAGAAAGGGACGGCUAACUACGGGCCAGCAGCCGCGGUAAUAC
rnacentral:rRNA from 1 species